UACGUAGGGUGCGAGCGUUGUCCGGAAUUAUUGGGCGUAAAGCGCACGUAGGCGGCUUAGCAAGUCGGAAGUGAAAUCCCUCGGCUCAACCAAGGAAGUGCUUUCGAAACUGCUGAGCUUGAGUACUUAAGAGGAUCGCGGAAUUCCCGGUGUAGAGGUGAAAUUCGUAGAUAUCGGGAGGAACACCAGUGGCGAAGGCGGCCGGCUGGGGGUGACCUGACGCUGAGGCGCGAAAGCGUGGGGAGCGAACCGG
rnacentral:rRNA from 1 species